AGUGUCCCAGACGUGCAGUGGCAGAAAAAGAACAGGAAGCUGAUGGCAGACAAAGGCCUCUACCAGAAGCACUCCCUGGACCAUCCUCUGCUAAAGGACUUUGCCACAUACCUGGAGAAGGAGCUCCUCAACGAGAACUUUAAACAGGAGGUGGACAAUGUAUCAAGGUACCUCUACUAUGCUGACCCACAGACACCAUCCCUGCGGUUUGUCAUGGAGAGAGAGAAGCUCAGGGCCUACAUGUGUGAGCUCAGUGAUGCAAAGCUGUCAAAACAAACACAGCUGAACUACUUGAAGAGCUUGAAAAGGUUAAUGGCAUUUUUUUUAGUUUUUCCACAUAAUAUCAACACUUUUGUAGACAAUGGUGGUAUUUUGCUUCAGUACAUGUAAAUACUUACAAUCCUUGCACUUCCUCCAACAGAUUCCUUUAUUUCCACACUGUGAACACCAGCCUCAGUAGUGAUGAUGCAGAGCUCCAUGCGCAGUGCAAGGGCUUUAUGGAGUUCAUUGGGUUGCGCCAGAAGGUUUGCUCAAAGCAAUUGAGCAAAGAGAUCACCCAGAGGAGGUACGUUGAACUAUUAUAUCAGUGAAUUGGAAUACAGAACAGAUAAGUGAGCAAUGUGUCUGAUAAUGUUAUGAUGAUUCAUUUUAUUAUUUUCCUCAUAGGCACUCCCUGUUGACUGCACCGGAUAGUCUGACACCAGCAGAAUGCUGGACAGUGCUGAGGGUGGCCAAGAAGGACUUCCUGGCCGUUAUCGGGAAGGUCUUCAAAGAUAAGAACGCCGUGCUGGUGAUGGCAGAGUGCAGCUUUGUGGUAAACUAUCUACAGGCAGUGGUGAUCCUAAGACACCUCCAGAGACCUGGUGUGGUUGAGCACAUGACUGUGAGUAUUAUUGUGCUCUUUUUUGUCUUAAUUGGUUCUAAUAUCUUUUGACAUUUUGUAACCAAACAAUAUGCUAUCCUUGAUUUGCAGGUAAAGGAGUGGGUUUUAAGAGUAUCGGACUCACGUGGCAACGCUGUCAUCGGCGUGAAGGCAGCUCAGCAGGUGGCCACAUUUGCCCUGUCUCAGGAAGAGGAGAUGGUAGGUUCAAGUUCAAAGUUCAAGUUUCCUAUGACAACCUAUUCAAA
rnacentral:lncRNA from 1 species